UACGGAGGGGGCUAGCGUUGUUCGGAUUUACUGGGCGUAAAGCGCACGUAGGCGGAUCGAUCAGUCAGGGGUGAAAUCCCAGAGCUCAACUCUGGAACUGCCUUUGAUACUGUCGAUCUGGAGUAUGGAAGAGGUGAGUGGAAUUCCGAGUGUAGAGGUGAAAUUCGUAGAUAUUCGGAGGAACACCAGUGGCGAAGGCGGCUCACUGGUCCAUUACUGACGCUGAGGUGCGAAAGCGUGGGGAGCAAACAGG
rnacentral:rRNA from 1 species